GAUUAUCCCCAGCCAACCGCUGUCUGGAAGUGGAGGAUCCUCCUUCUGACGAAUCCUCGAAUCACCAGCAGGUCAAUCGCAGCUUAAGUUUACAUCACAACGCCUGCGUCAAUUACCACAGGCUGCGUUUCGUCACGUGGGCAUUUUAUUGGCCUAUGUCAUCACAAGAAGGUUCCAGCCCAGUGAUUCUAUGAUUUUCCUCUUGCCUCAACAUAGGAUCAGAGGUGGGUGGAUGGCCACAAGGCUAAAACCAGCAGCUGUCCAGGUUCUCGGCCUUUCAUUCCAGAUGACUCUGAACAUAGCUGGAUGAGAAGAAUCUUGGAGAAUUGUUAUGAAUGCAAGAUGGGGACAAGCAGGGACAAUUGUGAGGAAAUCAACAGAGCUGGCUCCCCUCCACUUUUCCUAGAUUCCUGAAGGUAGGAAGCAAUAUAGCGAUGUUGUAAUUUGAUAAAGAAGUACAGUGGAAAAGCUGGAGCCCCAUUUCACAUCAGUAUGGUGGCUACUGCCCUGUGGAAAAAUGGUGCCACAUCAGAUUUUGUGUGUCCAGAGAUGGGAGUGAUCCGUGGACGUCCUGAAGACUUGGAGUCAGAGUGCCUGCGGUUGAAUUUUUGUCCAUGAAGAGUGGGAUCUGAAGCUGGCUACCAAUGGUCUUGGGGACAAGACACACAGGCAAGGUGCCCCCUGAACGCUUUGGGUUCACUGUUCUCUCCUUGUUACCAAGGCAGGG